UUGCCCAUUUAAAACUGACAGUGUCUUAAGUGGCCAACACAGAAGGGUAGAUCAUUUUCAUUCUCAAACCCAAAGCAAAGUGCCUGUGAAUGCUUUGGAUCCUGUCGAGUGGAACAUAU